rnacentral:rRNA from 1 species
CAUUAACGAGUUAGGGUCUCUCUGGCCCGACCUCCCAACCCUUUGUCUACUUGACCAUCGUUGCUUCGGCGAGCCCGUCCUCACGGACCGCCGGAGGGAUCUUUACUGGCCCUCUGGUCCGCGCUCGUCGGUAGCCCAACCUUUAAAAUCUUUAACUAAACGUGCCUUAAUCUAAGUACAAUUAUUAAAUAAAAGCAAAACUUUCAACAACGGAUCUCUUGGUUCUGGCAUCGAUGAAGAACGCAGCGAAAUGCGAUAAGUAAUGCGAAUUGCAGAAUUCCAGUGAGUCAUCGAAUCUUUGAACGCACAUUGCGCCCUUUGGUAUUCCGAAGGGCAUGCCUGUUCGAGCGUCAUUAUCACCCCUCAAGCCCUCGGCUUGGUGUUGGACGGUUUGGUGGAGGCCCCCUCGGGGGUUCCUGCCCCUCCCAAAGACAAUGACGGCGGCCUCGUUGGACCCCCGGUACACUGAGUUCUUCACGGGACACGUAUCGGACACAUGGGUUUACGGGACACGGUCUGCCUCCCCUCAGGGAGAAUCUUUCUAAGGUUGACCUCGGAUCAGGUAGGGAUACCCGCUGAACUUAAGCAUAUCAAUAAGCGGAGGAAAAGAAACCAACAGGGAUUGCCUCAGUAACGGCGAGUGAAGCGGCAACAGCUCAAAUUUGAAAUCUGGCCUCUUUGGGGUCC